UGCAAUGAGAGUUGUGCUAAGGUAGCGUGGUAAUUUGUCUUUUAAUUAGAGAAUGGUAUGAAAGGUUUAAUGUGGAAAAGCUGUCUUUAUAAAAUUUUAUAAAAUUUUCUUUUAGGUGAAAAGACCUAUAUAUUUGUAAAAGACGAGAAGACCCUGUCGAGUUUAAUUAAAGUUUUAAAGUAUUAUAGCUUAAAGUUUUGUUGGGGCAACAUAAGUCAAUAUAACGGUUUAUGAUUUUACCAAAAUCCUUUGUAGAGAGAAUAAAGCAAAAACUACCGCAGGGAUAACAGCGUUAUCCUUUUUAAGAGAUCUAAUUGAGAAAAGGGUUUGCGACCUCGAUGUUGGAUUAU
rnacentral:rRNA from 1 species